CCUACGGGAGGCAGCAGUGGGAGAUAUUGCACAAUGGGGGAAACCCUGAUGCAGCGACGCCGCGUGUGGGAAGACGGUCCUCUGGAUUGUCAACCACUGUCCCCAGGGACGAAGAUGCCGGUACCUGGGGCGGACGCUCCGGCUAACUACGUGCCAGCAGCCGCGGUAAUACGUAGGGAGCGAGCGUUGUCCGGAAUUACUGGGGGUAAAGGGAGCGUGGGCGGGACUGCAAGUUGGGUGUCAAAUCUACCGGCUCAACCGGUAGCCGCACUCAAAACUGCAGUUCUUGAGUGAAGUAGAGGCAGGCGGAAUGCCUAGUGUAGCGGUGAAAUGCGUAGAUAUUAGGAGGAACACCAGUGGUGAAGGCGGCCUGCUGGGCUUUUACUGACGCUGAGGCUCGAAAGUGUGGGGAGCAAACAGGAUUAGAUACCCGGGUAGUC
rnacentral:rRNA from 1 species